rnacentral:rRNA from 1 species
CGUAUGGGUCUUUUAAAGACUUAGUGACGCAGUUAACGCAAUAAGUAGACCGCCUGGGGAGUACGGCCGCAAGGUUAAAACUCAAAUGAAUUGACGGGGGCCCGCACAAGCGGUGGAGCAUGUGGUUUAAUUCGAUGCAACGCGAAGAACCUUACCUGGUCUUGACAUAGUGAGAAUCUUGCAGAGAUGCGAGAGUGCCUUCGGGAAUUCACAUACAGGUGCUGCAUGGCUGUCGUCAGCUCGUGUCGUGAGAUGUUGGGUUAAGUAC